rnacentral:rRNA from 1 species
GAUGAACGCUGGCGGUGUGCCUAAUACAUGCAAGUCGAGCGAACGGACGAUAAGCUUGCUUCUCUGAUGUUAGCGGCGGACGGGUGAGUAACACGUGCAUAACCUACCUAUAAGACUGGGAUAACUUCGGGAAGCCGGAGCUGAUAAUGGAUAAUAUUUUCAACCGCUUGGUUCAAAAGUGAUUGACGGUCUUGCUGUCACUUAUAGCUGGAUCCGCGCUGGAUUAGCUAGUUGGUAAGGUAACGGCUCACCAAGGCAACGAUGCGUAGCCGACCUGAGAGGAUGAUCGGCCACACUGGAACUGAGACACGGUCCAGACUCCUACGGGAGGCAGCAGUAGGGAAUCUUCCGCAAUGGGCGAAAGCCUGACGGAGCAACGCCGCGUGAGUGAUGAAGGCCUUCGGAUCGUAAAGCUCUGUUAUUGGGGAAGAACAGAUGUGUAAGUAACUGUGGACAUUUUGACGGUACCUAAUCAAAAAGCCACGGCUAACUUCGUG